rnacentral:rRNA from 1 species
AAGCUCGUAGUUGAAUUUCGGGGUUCUACCGUUGGUCGGGCUAACCAGUCUGUACUAGCGUGUAGAAUUCCUACCUUCUGGGGAACCAUCAUGUUAUUAAUUUAGCGUGGUGGGAAACCAGGACCUUUACCUUGAAAAAAUUAGAGUGUUCAAAGCAGGCUUACGUCUGAAUACAUUAGCAUGGAAUAAUAAAAUAGGACGGUGGUCCUGUUUUGUUGGUUUCUGAAUCACCGUAAUGAUUAAUAGGGAUAGUU